UGGUCGGGCGAUGCGUACGACACAUGCAAGUCGAACGGCAGCACGGCAGUAGCAAUACUGUGGGUGGCGAGUGGCGGACGGGUGAGGAAUACGUCGGAAUCUGCCCAGUCGUGGGGGAUAACUAGCCGAAAGGUUAGCUAAUACCGCAUACGACCGAGAGGUGAAAGCGGGGGACCGCAAGGCCUCGCGCGAUUGGAUGAGCCGACGUCGGAUUAGCUAGUUGGUGGGGUAAAGGCCCACCAAGGCGACGAUCCGUAGCUGGUCUGAGAGGAUGAUCAGCCACACUGGAACUGAGACACGGUCCAGACUCCUACGGGAGGCAGCAGUGGGGAAUAUUGGACAAUGGGCGCAAGCCUGAUCCAGCAAUGCCGCGUGUGUGAAGAAGGCCUUCGGGUUGUAAAGCACUUUUAUCAGGAACGAAAAGCGUUGGAUUAAUACUCUGACGUGCUGACGGUACCUGAGGAAUAAGCACCGGCUAACUUCGUG
rnacentral:rRNA from 1 species